AUUAAUUUAUUUUUAUUUUUAUACCAUCCACUUGUUCUUAAGCUUAUCCUAUCAUUCUAAAUAUCCAAUUAUUCCUAUCCAAAUCUUUAACUUCCUCAUUAAGUAAUUUUUACUAUCUUCCUCUAUAAGCCAAGCUUAAGCUUUUCUUCACUCAAUCCUCUCACCUGCUCUCUCCCUACUCUCGUUCCAACACCAUACAAAAAAAAAAUCAAGUGCAAAGCUCCAUUUAGUAAACAACUGCAGAUUCAACACCAUACCUUUCUGCAGCAACAAAUUGAUUCUAGCCAUCACAAAUCAACAACACAACAGAAUUAUUUCUAAAGGCUUCGUGGAUCGUGAGGAUUAGCACCACUUUUCCGAUUCAGAGAUAAAAUUUAACGACAGGCAUUGCCUAUACAGGUUGAUGGCUGGUGUUGACGGGGAGAGCUGAGGCUAGGGUUCAACUCCGUGUUUUGACUUCCGCUGUAGUACUGGUCUUUAUUUGUCUUUCGUUUUCUUGACUUAAGACUUUUAUGUUAUGACUCUAAAUGAUAUCUCUUGAUGAGCUUAAACUCUUGACUCUUUAGUAUUUCGAUUAAUGAAUGUUGGUUAUCCGAGACAUGAAACUAAACUUGU